CACACCCGGAAGCGCGCCCGCGAGCUCCUGGCAGGCUGGCCGGUGUCUGGGUACUACGCGGUAUGUGGGCCUCCGGCGCUGUCGGAGGGCCUCGGUAGUCGGUGGGGCUUACUCCGGGACCCUGGCGCUUCCCUCCCGGAAGUGGGGGCGUCUCCACCUCCAGCCUCACCCACCCGGCGUGGGGCCGUGGGCCCGUCGCCUCACCUCUCGGAGCCAGAGUUACUGCAGCUACGAAGUGGGGCAGUAGUCACAAGCCGGGCCUUCUUCCCAGGGACCUGGGAUGCUAUGCUGCUCUCCAUGAACUGGUCACUGAGUCUGUCUACCACAGCCCUUUCUGAAUCUUUGGCUGUCUGGAAGCUCCGCUGUGCUUCUUGCCAAGAUGAAGUGCGUCUUGGUGGCCACAGAGGGUGCAGACGUCCUCUUCUACUGGAUGGACGAGGAGUUUGAAGAGAGUCUGCGGCUGAAGUUUGGGCAGUCGGAGAAUGAGGGAGAAGGGCUUCCCGCCCUGGAGGACCAGCUCAGCACCCUCCUGGCCCCAGUCAUUAUCUCCUCUAUGACGAUGCUGGAGAAGCUCUCAGACACAUACACCUGCUUCUCGACGGAAAAUGGCAACUACCUGUACGUCCUUCACCUGUUUGGAGAGUGCCUGUUCAUUGCCAUCAAUGGAGACCACACCGAGGGCGAGGGGGACCUGCGGCAGAAGCUGUGCGUGCUCAAGUACCUUUUCGAGGUGCACUUCGGGCUGGUUACCAUGGACGGCCAGCUCAUCCGAAAGGAGCUGCGGCCCCCGGACCUGGGGCAGCGUGUGCAGGUGUGGGAGCACUUCCAGAGCCUGCUGUGGACCUACGGCCGCCUGCGGCAGCAGGAGCAGUGUUUCGCUGUGGAGGCUGUGGAGCGGCUGAUCCACCCUCAGCUAUGUGAGCUGUGCAUCGAGGUGCUGGAGCGGCACGUCGUCCAGGCCAUCAACUCCAGCCCUGGGCGGGCUGGCGAGGAGGCCCUGCAUGCCUUCCUGCUCGUGCACUCCAAGUUGCUGGCUUUCUACUCCAGCCACAGCGCCGGCUCCCUGCGCCCACCCGACCUCCUUGCCCUCAUCCUUCUGGUGCAGGACCUCUACCCCAGCGAGAGCAUGGCGGAGGACAGCGACACCCAGCCUUCCCCACAGAGGCCCCUCCGCAGCCAGAGCAUCCCCGUGCAGCAGGCCUGGAGCUCUUGUUCUGCAGACCCAACCAGGAGUUCUGCAGGGACUGAGACAGACAGCCUCUCCCUCCCUGAGGAGUAUUUCACACCAGCUCCUUCUCCCGGGGAGCAGAGUUCAGGUAGCACAGUCUGGCUGGAUGGGGGUACCCCUCCCACUGAUGAUCCCCAUGUCCAGAUGGCUGAGGACACCCUCCAGAUGCUGGUCCCUCGCUCCCCAGGACCCUCCAGCCCCAGAAGGAUUUUCCUGGAUGCCACCGUGAAAGAGAGCUACUGCCCCAUGGUGCCCCACACCAUGUACUGCCUGCCGCUGUGGCCAGGCAUCAACAUGGUGCUCCUGACCAAGAGCCCCAGUACGGCCCUGGCCCUGGCCCUGUACCAGCUGCUGGAUGGGUUUUCUCUACUGGAGAAGAAGCUGAAGGAGGGGCAGGAGGCCGGGAGUGCCCUGCGGUCCCACCCCCUCAUGGGGGACCUACGCCAGAGGAUGGACAAGUUUGUCAAGAAUCGAGGUGGGCAAGAGCUUCAGAGCACCUGGCUGGAGUUCAAGACCAAGGCCUUCUCCAGAAGUGAGCCCGGAUCAUCCUGGCAGCUGCUCCAGGCAUGCGGGAGGCUGAAGAGGCAGCUUUGCGCCAUCUACCGGCUCAGCUUCCUGACCACGGCUCUGGGCCGGGGAGGCCCCUCCCUGCCCCAGCACCUGCAGGACCAGGUCCAGACGCUCAUGCAAGAAAAGCUGGCAGACUGGAAGGACUUCCUGUUGGUGAAGGGCAGGAGGAAUGUCACCAUGGUGUCUGAGACCCUCACCUACCUGGAAGACUUCCCCGGCCUGGUGCAUUUCAUCUACGUGGACCGCACCACCGGCCAGAUGGUGGCCCCUUCCCUCAGCAGCACUGAAAGGACUUCAUCGGAGCUGGGCAGGGGGCCCCUGGCCACCUUCGUCAGAACCAAGGUCUGGUCUCUGAUCCAGCUGGCACGCAGAUACCUGCAGAAGGGCUACACCACGCUGCUGUGCCGCGAGGGGGACUUCUACUGCUCCUAUUUCCUGUGGUUCGAGAACGAGAUGGUGGGUGUGGCCAGCCCGGGGCAGGGCCGUCCCGAAAUGCUUGCUUUCCCUGUGACUCUUGGAUCCUUUUCUCCUGGAUUCUGUUCAGUCUGUGUCUCCAGCUCUUCUUGUCCCUGGUGGAGCUGACAGCUAAGCCCAGCUGGUUGGCACCCAGAACUCAGGUCCCGUUUGCGCUCAGGCCCCUCCACCCCAUUCUCUGAAAAUCUCAUGACAUUGAUUAAGGCAGCAUCCAGGUGACAUGUGAACAGAUGUGCGCCCGCGUGAGCAAGGCCGCCCAGCCCGCGCUUCCUCGGUGGUGUUUCAGUGGCAUCAGCUGCACUUACAGAGCCCGGCUCCCUGUUCCCAUUGUAGAGGCUGAUAAACCGAAGCUCAGAGCAGUUAACCAGCCUGCCCAGGGCAAGGCUAGCAGGAAGGCUCAGCUCUCUUGCGUCGGCCGUGUUGGCCAAACCUCACCAUUGCUGCAGUAUGAGCACGGGUCACGGGAGUUUAUUAUCUGUGUCCUCCCACCCCCUCGCGCUGUUGCUCUCCCUCACUGUCUCGCUCUGUGUCUCCCCUCUUUCCUCUGCUUUCGUUUCCUUUUUCUCUUCUUGUUUCCUCCUCACUUGUCACCCUUGGCCAUCAUUCCAGCUCUCUGAGGGCCAUUGCUUCUCCCUCCCACAUUCCCUUGGCCCCUCGUCCUGUCCUCUCCCCUGCUCGUGCCCUGCCCUCUCUCUGCCCCUGUCAGCGAGCCCUCCUUCCCCCCUUCCUGCACGGCACAGUGCAGCCGUCGGGGUCUCUCACUCUGUUCUCACGGCCUCACAUCCGCACAGCCCGUGUGAUGGUCGGAGCAGGUGUCACUGACCCCAUUUUGCAGAUGGAGACGCUGACGCCCUGAGAUCAGACACCAUGGCCAGGGCCACCGAGGUCCUAGGUGAUGAUGUCAGAACCCAGGCUCGGCUCUCCUGACCUGCAGGCUCCCAUCUUUGCUCUGUGCCUGCCUCAGAAGCGCCCAGGAUGUGGGUGUGACCAUCACCUUAGCUUCUAGGGAGGGACAGGGCUCCGUGUGUGUGUGUGUGUGUGUGUGCGUGUGUGUGUGUAUGUGUGUGUUUAGCCCCACAGGGCAGUAGGCUGUGGUGCGGGGAGACCCAGGUGUGAAGUCUGGCUGCAACUGGGCCGCCACCAAGUCCUCCUCCUCCCCUGUGCGGCAGGCCCGGUGAGCACAGUGCCGCAGGAGCCCCGUGAGGGCGCCUGGCACACAGUGGGAGCCCAACAGAGCUUGAGUACCUUCCCCGCCAUGUCCUGCCCUGGGAAUACCUGUUGCUUUCAGAGAGAGACUUGGCCUUUGGUAACGCUUUGUUCUUCAUGACACGUCCCCGGGUCGUCCUCCCUCACGUGUGCCUGUCGCUGACCCAGGUCCACUGGUUGAUGGGACUGAGAGCUACCAGGUGCCGGGCACGACACUCGGAACUUUACAUCCAUGUCUAAUGUUCUUUGGGAGUUUAUUCUUAUUCCUGCUUCACAGGGGUACAAACUCCAGAUCAUCGAGGUGCCUGUCCUGUCCGAUGACUCGGCUCCUGUCGGCAUGCUGGGAGGAGACUACUACAGGAAGCUCCUGCGCUACUACAGCAAGGGCCACCCGGCGGAGGCUGUCAGGUGC